UAAACACUCCCUCCGUCCGAGAAAGCUUGUUCCUCAAAUGGAUGUGUCUAGCAUAAGUUAGUGCUAGAUAUAUACUCAUUUGAGGCUUGGGACAAGUUUUUUCGGACGGAGGGAGUAUAUC
rnacentral:pre_miRNA from 1 species